GAAACGACUGCUAAGACUGGAUAGGAAACAAAAAGGCAUCUUUUUGUUUUUAAAAGACCUUCUUAGAAAGGUAUGCUUAAAGAGGGGCUUGCGCCACAUUAGUUAGUUGGUAGAGUAAAAGCCUACCAAGACGAUGAUGUGUAGCUGGACUGAGAGGUUGAACAGCCACAUUGGGACUGAGACACGGCCCAAACUCCUACGGGAGGCAGCAGUAGGGAAUUUUCGGCAAUGGAGGAAACUCUGACCGAGCAACGCCGCGUGAACGAUGAAGUAUUUCGGUAUGUAAAGUUCUUUUAUUGAAGAAGAAAAAGUAGUGGAAAAACUAUAUUGACGUUAUUCAAUGAAUAAGCCCCGGCUAACUAUGUGCCAGCAGCCGCGGUAAGACAUAGGGGGCGAGCGUUAUCCGGAAUUAUUGGGCGUAAAGGGUGCGUAGGCUGUUAGAUAAGUCUAUAAUUUAAUUUCAGUGCUUAACGCUGUCUUGUUAUAGAAACUGUCUUGACUAGAGUGAGAUAGAGGCAAGCGGAAUUCCAUGUGUAGCGGUAAAAUGUGUAAAUAUAUGGAGGAACACCAGAAGCGUAGGCGGCUUGCUGGGUCUUUACUGACGCUGAGGCACGAAAGCGUGGGUAGCAAACAGGAUUAGAUACCCUGGUAGUCCACGCCGUAAACGAUGAGUACUAAGUGUCGGGGUAAAACUCGGUACUGAAGUUAACACAUUAAGUACUCCGCCUGAGUAGUACGUACGCAAGUAUGAAACUUAAAGGAAUUGACGGGACUCCGCACAAGCGGUGGAUCAUGUUGUUUAAUUCGAAGAUACACGAAAAAUCUUACCAGGUCUUGACAUACUCUGCAAAGCUAUAGAAAUAUAGUGGAGGUUAUCAGGAAUACAGGUGGUGCAUGGUUGUCGUCAGUUCGUGUCGUGAGAUGUUAGGUUAAGUCCUAAAACGAGCGCAACCCUUGUCGUUAAUUGCCAGCACGUAAUGGUGGGGACUUUAACAAGACUGCCAAUUAAACAUUGGAGGAAGGUGAGGAUUACGUCAAAUCAUCAUGCCCCUUAUGAUCUGGGCUACAAACGUGAUACAAUGGCUGUGACAAAGAGUAGCUGAAACGCGAGUUUUUAGCCAAUCUCAAAAAAGCAGUCUCAGUUCGGAUUGAAGUCUGUAACUCGACUUCAUGAAGUUGGAAUCGCUAGUAAUCGCGAAUCAGCAUGUCGCGGUGAAUACGUUCUCGGGGUUUGUACACGCCGCCCGUCAA
rnacentral:rRNA from 1 species